UAGAGUUUGAUCCUGGCUCAGAUUGAACGCUGGCGGCAGGCUUAACACAUGCAAGUCGAACGAUGAUUUCCCAGCUUGCUGGGAAUGAUUAGUGGCGGACGGGUGAGUAACAUUUAGGAAUCUGCCUAGUAGUGGGGGAUAGCUCGGGGAAACUCGAAUUAAUACCGCAUACGACCUACGGGUGAAAGGGGGCGCAAGCUCUUGCUAUUAGAUGAGCCUAAAUCAGAUUAGCUAGUUGGUGGGGUAAAGGCCCACCAAGGCGACGAUCUGUAACUGGCCUGAGAGGAUGAUCAGUCACACCGGAACUGAGACACGGUCCGGACUCCUACGGGAGGCAGCAGUGGGGAAUAUCGGACAAUGGGGGCAACCCUGAUCCAGCCAUGCCGCGUGUGUGAAGAAGGCCUUUUGGUUGUAAAGCACUUUAAGCAGGGAGGAGAGGCUAAUGGUUAAUACCCAUUAGAUUAGACGUUACCUGCAGAAUAAGCACCGGCUAACUCUGCGCCGGCAGCCGCGGUAAUACAGAGGGUGCGAGCGUUAAUCGGAGUUACUGGGCGUAAAGCGAGUGUAGGUGGCUCAUUAAGUCACAUGUGAAAUCCCCGGGCUUAACCUGGGAACUGCAUGUGAUACUGGUGGUGCUAGAAUAUGUGAGAGGGAAGUAGAAUUCCAGGUGUAGCGGUGAAAUGCGUAGAGAUCUGGAGGAAUACCGAUGGCGAAGGCAGCUUCCUGGCAUAAUAUUGACACUGAGAUUCGAAUGCGUGGGUAGCAAACAGGAUUAGAUACCCUGGUAGUCCACGCCGUAAACGAUGUCUACUAGCCGUUGGGGUCCUUGAGACUUUAGUGGCGCAGUUAACGCGAUAAGUAGACCGCCUGGGGAGUACNGCCGCAAGGUNAAACUCAANUGAAUUGACNGGGGCCCNCACNAGCGGUGGANCAUGUGGUUUAAUUCNAUGCNACNCNAAAAACCUUACCUGGUCUUGACAUANUGAGAAUCCUGCAAANAUGCNGGAGUGC
rnacentral:rRNA from 1 species